AGAGUUUGAUCAUGGCUCAGAAUGAACGCUGGCGGCGUGCUUAACACAUGCAAGUCGAACGAUGAAGCCUAGCUUGCUAGGUGGAUUAGUGGCGCACGGGUGAGUAAUAUAUAGAUAACGUGCCUCUUAGUCUGGGAUAGCCAUUGGAAACGAUGAUUAAUACUAGAUACUCCUUCUCCUUCUAAUUGGAGUUGGGAAAGUUUUUCGCUAAGAGAUCGGUCUAUAUCCCAUCAGCUUGUUGGUAGUGUAAGAGACUACCAAGGCUAUGACGGGUAGCGGGUUUGAGAGGAUGAUCCGCCACACUGGUACUGAGACACGGACCAGACUCCUACGGGAGGCAGCAGCGAGGAAUAUUGCACAAUGGAGGAAACUCUGAUGCAGCAACGCCGCGUGGAGGAUGACGCAUUUCGGUGUGUAAACUCCUUUUAUAUGUCAAGAAAAUGACGGUAGCAUAUGAAUAAGCACCGGCUAACUCCGUGCCAGCAGCCGCGGUAAUACGGAGGGUGCAAGCGUUAUUCGGAAUCACUGGGCGUAAAGGACGCGUAGGCGGGAUGCCAAGUCUGAUGUGAAAUCCUAUGGCUCAACCAUAGAACUGCAUUGGAAACUGGUAACCUAGAGUAUGGGAGGGGGAGAUGGAGUUAGUGGUGUAGGGGUAAAAUCCGUAGAUAUCACUAGGAAUACCGAAAGCGAAGGCGAUCUCCUGGAACAAUACUGACGCUAAGGCGUGAAAGCGUGGGGAGCAAACGGGAUUAGAUACCCCGGUAGUCCACGCCCUAAACGAUGAACACCAGUCGUCGGAAUGCUAGUCAUUUCGGUGAUGCACUUAACAGAUUAAG
rnacentral:rRNA from 1 species